rnacentral:rRNA from 1 species
UAAGAGGAAGUAAAAGUCGUAACAAGGUUUCGUUGGUGAACCAGCGGAGGGAUCAUUACCGAGUUAUACAACUCAUCAACCCUGUGAACAUACCUAAAACGUUGCUUCGGCGGGAACAGACGGCCCCGUAACACGGGCCGCCCCCGCCAGAGGACCCCCUAACUCUGUUUUUAUAAUGUUUCUUCUGAGUAAACAAGCAAAUAAAUUAAAACUUUCAACAACGGAUCUCUUGGCUCUGGCAUCGAUGAAGAACGCAGCGAAAUGCGAUAAGUAAUGUGAAUUGCAGAAUUCAGUGAAUCAUCGAAUCUUUGAACGCACAUUGCGCCCGCCAGUAUUCUGGCGGGCAUGCCUGUUCGAGCGUCAUUACAACCCUCAGGCCCCCGGGCCUGGCGUUGGGGAUCGGCGGAAGCCCCCUGUGGGCACAACGCCGUCCCUCAAAUACAGUGGCGGUCCCGCCGCAGCUUCCAUUGCGUAGUAGCUAACACCUCGCAACUGGAGAGCGGCGCGGCCAUGCCGUAAAACACCCAACUUCUGAAUGUUGACCUCGAAUCAGGUAGGAAUACCCGCUGAACUUAUGCAUAUCAAUAAGCGGAGGAAAAGAAACCAACAGGGAUUGCCCCAGUA